rnacentral:rRNA from 1 species
UGAGGAAUAUUGGUCAAUGGGGGCAACCCUGAACCAGCCAAGCCGCGUGAAGGAUGAAGGUCUUAUGGAUUGUAAACUUCUUUUAUACAGGAAUAAAUUGGGGGACGUGUCCCCUUUUGCAUGUACUGUAUGAAUAAGGAUCGGCUAACUCCGUGCCAGCAGCCGCGGUAAUACGGAGGAUCCGAGCGUUCUCCGGAUUUAUUGGGUUUAAAGGGUGCGCAGGCGGGAUGUUAAGUCGGCGGUGAAAUUUUGCAGCUCAACUGUAAAAGUGCCUUCGAUACUGGCUUCCUUGAGUGUAGAUGAAGUAGGCGGAAUUUGUGGUGUAGCGGUGAAAUGCUUAGAUAUUAGGAGGAACACCAGUGGCGAAGGCGGCUUUCUGGACUGUAACUGACACUGAGGCACGAAAGCGUGGGGAGCAAACA